AGCAGCCGCGGUAACUCCAGCUCCAAUAGCGUAUAUUAAAGUUGUUGCAGUUAAAAAGCUCGUAGUUGGAUUUCGGGACCAUCAGGUUGGUCGUGCCUCUGGUAUGUACUUGCUUCGAUGGUCCCUCCUUCUUGAAGAACCGUAAUGCCAUUAAUUUGUUGUUGCGGGGAAACAGGACUGUUACUUUGAAAAAUUAGAGUGUUUAAAGCAGGCAAUCGCUUGAAUACAUUAGCAUGGAAUAAUGAAAUAGGACGUUCGAUCCUAUUUUGUUGGUUUCUAGGAUUGACGUUAAUGAUUAAUAGGGAUAGUUGGGGGCAUUAGUAUUCAAUUGUCAGAGGUGAAAUUCUUGGAUUUAUUGAAGACUAACUGCUGCGAAAGCAUUUGCCAAGGAUGUUUUCAUUAAUCAAGA
rnacentral:rRNA from 1 species